rnacentral:rRNA from 1 species
GAUGAACGCUGGCGGCGUGCCUAAUACAUGCAAGUCGAGCGAACAGAUGAGGAGCUUGCUCCUCUGACGUUAGCGGCGGACGGGUGAGUAACACGUGGAUAACCUACCUAUAAGACUGGGAUAACUUCGGGAAACCGGAGCUAAUACCGGAUAAUAUAUUGAACCGCAUGGUUCAAUAGUGAAAGACGGUUUUGCUGUCACUUAUAGAUGGAUCCGCGCCGCAUUAGCUAGUUGGUAAGGUAACGGCGUACCAAGGCAACGAUGCGUAGCCGACCUGAGAGGGUGAUCGGCCACACUGGAAGGGAGACACGGUCCAGACUCCUACGGGAGGCAGCAGUAGGGAAUCUUCCGCAAUGGGCGAAAGCCUGACGGAGCAACGCCGCGUGAGUGAUGAAGGUCUUCGGAUCGUAAAACUCUGUUAUUAGGGAAGAACAAAUGUGGAAGUAACUAUGCACGUCUUGACGGUACCUAAUCAGAAAGCCACGGCUAACUACGUG